rnacentral:rRNA from 1 species
GACAAACGCUGGCGGCAUGCCUAACACAUGCAAGUCGAACGGACAGAACAGGGAAGCUUUUCGGAGUGGAACUGGGAAGUUAGUGGCGGAUGGGUGAGUAACGCGUGGACAACCUACCUUGUAAAGGGGAAUAACCUCGAGAAAUCGAAGCUAAUACCCCAUAAUAACCUUGCUUCGCAUGAAGUAAGGAGGAAAGGCGGCCUUAGCGCUGUCGAUACAAGAUGGGUCCGCGUCUGAUUAGCUAGUUGGUGAGGUAAAGGCUCACCAAGGCGACGAUCAGUAGCCGGCCUGAGAGGGUGAACGGCCACAUUGGGACUGAGACACGGCCCAAACUCCUACGGGAGGCAGCAGUGGGGAAUCUUCCGCAAUGGGCGAAAGCCUGACGGAGCAAUGCCGCGUGAGUGAAGAAGGCCUUCGGGUUGUAAAACUCUGUCCUUAUCGAAGAGAGAGUGUUGUAGUAACUGACAAUACUAGGACGGUAGAUGAGGAGGAAGCCCCGGCUAACUAUGUG